UGUAUAUAAAUGUGUGUGUGCUAUAUAUAUGUGUGUGAUAUAUAUACCACACACACACACACACACACACACACACACACACACACACACA
rnacentral:miRNA from 1 species